UACGGGGGGGGCAAGCGUUGUUCGGAAUUACUGGGCGUAAAGGGCUCGUAGGCGGUUUGUCGCGUCGGGAGUGAAAACCUUGGGCUUAACUCAGGGCUUGCUUUCGAUACGGGCAGACUAGAGGUAUGCAGGGGAGAACGGAAUUCCUGGUGUAGCGGUGAAAUGCGCAGAUAUCUGGAGGAACACCGGUGGCGAAGGCGGCAUUCUGGACCGAUAUUGACGCUGAGGAGCGAAAGCCAGGGGAGCAAACGGG
rnacentral:rRNA from 1 species